rnacentral:rRNA from 1 species
UACAGAGGUCUCAAGCGUUGUUCGGAUUCAUUGGGCGUAAAGGGUGCGUAGGCGGUGUGGUAAGUCGAAUGUGAAAUCUCGGAGCUCAACUCCGAAACUGCAUUCGAUACUGCCAUACUCGAGGAUUGUAGAGGAGAUCGGAAUUCACGGUGUAGCAGUGAAAUGCGUAGAUAUCGUGAGGAAGACCAGUUGCGAAAGCGGGUCUCUGGACAGUUCCUGACACUGAGGCACGAAGGCCAGGGGGAGCAAACGGG